rnacentral:lncRNA from 1 species
CGCGGGGCUGCGGGUGGGGCCGCUGAGGGCGGUGGCCGGGAGAGGCCCCGCUGUGGGCUGAGGUGAAGCUCCAUGGGCAGAGGUGUUCAGGAGUGCACUUGAUGCCUUCCAGCCAGGUGGGUGCUCAGUGGAACCCAGCGAGGACAAGCCCAGUAACAGGAUGUGGUCAGCUAGGACAUCAGGCCCGUGGACCAACUACUGGAUUCUCCAAAUCUCCCACCAGGCCUCGUUGUCGAAGCCUCGGUGAUUUGUUAUUCAGAAGGAGAAGCCCUGCUGUAGCCUCCUAAGGAGAUGAUUCGUGGUUGGUGGCAGGCAGUCAAACCGAACGUCUGAAAUACAUGCUCACAAGUCUGCCAAAAUUCCCAGUUUAUGGUUAGAUCUUCCCACAGUACUGUGUCAGGAGUGUAUCACGUCAUCCUUAGCUGGAAGAAUAACUUGAAGGGAAUUUAAGUAGAGAUGUGCUGCUGUAGUCUGAAGAGUGGUAAAUGUGCUACCGGUGUUCGUACUCCACAUAUAGUCAAUGGCUUUUGCAGUCCUCAGUUGGUCCCCUCUGCCUGUACUGAUUCAAAGACAGAAUAGAAUCAUAGAAUCAGAAUGAUUAAGGUUGGAAAAGACCUCUAGGAUCAUCUAGUCCAACCACCAACCCAUCACACCAUGCCCACUAACCAUGUCCCUCAGUGCCACAUCCACACGUUUCUUGAACACAUCCAAGAAUGGUGACUCCACCACCUCCCUGGGCAGCC